rnacentral:rRNA from 1 species
GUAGUCCACGCCGUAAACGAUGCUAACUCGUUUUUGGAUUUUCGGAUUCAGAGACCAAGCGAAAGUGAUAAGUUAGCCACCUGGGGAGUACGUCCGCAAGGAUGAAACUCAAAGGAAUUGACGGGGGCCCGCACAAGCGGUGGAUUAUGUGGUUUAAUUCGAUGAUACGCGAGGAACCUUACCAAGACUUAAAUGGGAAUUGACAGAUUUAGAAAUAGAUCCUCCUUCGGGCAAUUUCCAAGGUGCUGCAUGGUUGUCGUCAGCUCGUGCCGUGAGGUGUUAGGUUAAGUCCUGCAACGAGCGCAACCCCUGUCACUAGUUGCCAUCAUUCAGUUGGGGACUCUAGUGAGACUGCCUACGCAAGUAGAGA